rnacentral:misc_RNA from 1 species
GAUGAAGACGUAGUGAAAUGCGAUAAGUAAUGUGAAUUGCAGAAUCCAGUGAAUCAUCGAAUCUUUGAACGCACAUUGCGCCCGCCAGCAUUCUGGCGGGCAUGCCUGUUCGAGCGUCAUUUCAACCCUCGACCUCCCCUUGGGGAGGUCGGCGUUGGGGACCGGCAGCACACCGCCGGCCCUGAAAUGGAGUGGCGGCCCGUCUGCGGCGACCUCUGCGUAGUAAUACAGCUCGCACCGGAACCCCGACGCGGCCACGCCGUAAAACACCCAACUUCUGAACGUUGACCUCGAAUCAGGUAGGACUACCCGCUGAACUUAAGCAUAUCAAUAAGCGGAGGA